rnacentral:rRNA from 1 species
GACGAACGCUGGCGGCGUGCUUAACACAUGCAAGUCGAACUGACAGGCCCUGCUUUUGUGGGGUGCUCGAGUGGCGAACGUGUGAGUAACACUUGAGUAACCUGUCCUUUACUUUUGGAUAUCUUCAGGAAACUGGGGCUAAUACCGGAUAGCAGCUCCUUCUGCAUGGUGGGGUUUGGAUAGUUUCGGCGGUUCGGGAUGGACUCGCGGGUUAUCAGCUUGUUAGUGGGGUAGUGGCUUACCAAGGAUUGGACGGGUAGCCGGCCUGAGAGAGGUACCGGCGAGAUUAGGACUAAGAUACGGCGCAGACUCCUAAGGGAGGCAGCAGUAGGGAAUAUGGAGCAAUGAGCGAAAGCCUGAGGCAGAGACGCAGAGUGCGGGAUAAAGGGCUUCGAGUUGUAAACAGCUUUCGCAAGUGACGAAGAGUGAGUGACGGUAAUGAAUAAAGAAGCAACGGAUAACUACGUG